rnacentral:rRNA from 1 species
UUCCCAUAACUGGUGAAUAGCCUUUCGAAAGAGAGAUUAAUACACCGUAACAUAAAAAAGAGGCAUCUCUUUUUUAUUAUAGCUUCGGCGGUUUUGGAUGGGCGUGCGCCUGAUUAGGUAGUUGGCGGGGUAACGGCCCACCAAGCCUGCGAUCAGUAACUGGUGUGAGAGCACGACCAGUCACACGGGCACUGAGACACGGGCCCGACUCCUACGGGAGGCAGCAGUAAGGAAUAUUGGUCAAUGGACGCAAGUCUGAACCAGCCAUGCCGCGUGAAGGAUGAAGGCCCUCUGGGUUGUAAACUUCUUUUAUCUGGGACGAAAAAAGCUCAUUCUUGAGCACUUGACGGUACCAGAGGAAUAAGCACCGGCUAACUCCGUGCCAGCAGCCGCGGUAAUACGGAGGGUGCAAGCGUUAUCCGGAUUUACUGGGUUAAAAGGGUGCGUAGGUGGGCAGGUAAGUCAGUGGUGAAAUCUCCGAGCUUAACUCGGAAACUGCCAUUGAUACUAUCUGUCUUGAAUAUCCUGGAGGUGAGCGGAAUAUGUCAUGUAGCGGUGAAAUGCUUA